rnacentral:rRNA from 1 species
AGAGUUUGAUCAUGGCUCAGAUUGAACGCUGGCGGCAUGCUUUACACAUGCAAGUCGAGCGGCAGCGCGGGGGCAACCCUGGCGGCGAGCGGCGAACGGGUGAGUAACACAUCGGAACGUGUCCCGUAGUGGGGGAUAACCCGGCGAAAGCCGGGCUAAUACCGCAUAUGCUCUACGGAGGAAAGUGGGGGACCCGCAAGGGCCUCACGUUAUGGGAGCGGCCGAUGUCCGAUUAGCUAGUUGGUGGGGUAAAGGCCUACCAAGGCGACGAUCGGUAGCUGGUCUGAGAGGAUGAUCAGCCACACUGGGACUGAGACACGGCCCAGACUCCUACGGGAGGCAGCAGUGGGGAAUUUUGGACAAUGGGGGCAACCCUGAUCCAGCCAUGCCGCGUGCGGGAAGAAGGCCUUCGGGUUGUAAACCGCUUUUAGUCGGGAAGAAAGGGUUUCCUUGAAUACGGGAGAUUCUUGACGGUACCGGCGGAAUAAGCACCGGCUAACUACGUGCCAGCAGCCGCGGUAAUACGUAGGGUGCGAGCGUUAAUCGGAAUUACUGGGCGUAAAGCGUGCGUAGGCGGUUCUCCAAGUCCGUUGUGAAAGCCCCGGGCUCAACCUGGGAAUGGCAGUGGAAACUAGGGGACUGGAAUCUGGCAGAGGGGGGUGGAAUGCCGCGUGUAGCAGUGAAAUGCGUAGAGAUGCGGCGGAACACCGAUGGCGAAGGCAGCCCCCUGGGCUGAGAUUGACGCUCAGGCACGAAAGCGUGGGGAGCAAACAGGAUUAGAUACCCCCGUAGUCC